GUCAGCAGCCACAUCACCCUGCAGCCAAAGACUUGUUGUCCACUGAAGCUAAGCAGGGUUGAGCCUGGUCAGUACCUGGAUGGGAGACCACCUGGGAAAACUAGGUUGCUGUUGGAA
ensembl:rRNA 5S_rRNA 5S ribosomal RNA